rnacentral:rRNA from 1 species
UACAGAGGGUGCGAGCGUUAAUCGGAAUUACUGGGCGUAAAGCGUGCGUAGACGGCUAUCUAAGUCGGGUGUGAAAGCCCCGGGCUCAACCUGGGAAUUGCAUUCGAGACUGAAUAGCUAGGGUACGGUAGAGGGAAGCGGAAUUUCCGGUGUAGCGGUGAAAUGCGUAGAUAUCGGAAGGAACAUCAGUGGCGAAAGCGGCUUCCUGGACCAGUACCGACGUUCAGGCAC